GGGGGUCAACAUGUUGGAGGUGCUCCGUCAUGCUACACUAUACUGGGGUGAUGGGGGGGGUCAACAUGGUGGAGGUGCUCCGUCAUGCUACACUAUACUGGGGUGAUGGGGGGGGUCAACAUGUUGGAGGUGCUCCGUCAUGCUACACUAUACUGGGGUGAUGGGGGGGGUCAACAUGUUGGAGGUGCUCCGUCAUGCUACACUAUACUGGGGUGAUGGGGGGGUCAACAUGUUGGAGGUGCUCCGUCAUGCUACACUAUACUGGGGUGAUGGGGGGGUCAACAUGUUGGAGGUGCUCCGUCAUGCUACACUAUA